rnacentral:lncRNA from 1 species
AUUUGCAUUUGAUUACAACUUAAAAGAUUAACUAAUUUGGAAUUUUUUAUGUAACUAUAUAUCGUUUAAAUAUCAUAUCAAAAAAUUAUAAGUAAUAAAAAAUUUAUGAGUUUAGUAAAAUUUGCAUCUUAUGAAAAUUUUACAAUAUUUAAAUACACUAAUUUCAAAACAUUUUGUAUUAAUUAUUUAUAUUAUUAAAAUAUUUAGUAUUA